GAACUCCUGUUUGAUAAGGCUUUAACCAAGCCAUCAAUAGCGAGUCUUGGACUUCAACAAGUAAUUAUUGGAGUUAAGCGUAGACAGUUAGGUAAUAGGCCUGAAAGUGAUUGAGCUGCGUAAUAUGUUAAAACGGAGAGGUUGACAGUGUCGAAAGGCUGGAAAACCACACGAUAUAUACCGCUUUGGUAAGGUAUAUAGAGCCCUCUCGCAGUCGAAGAGCC
rnacentral:ncRNA from 1 species